rnacentral:rRNA from 1 species
CCUACGGGUGGCAGCAGUGAGGAAUAUUGGUCAAUGGACGAGAGUCUGAACCAGCCAAGUAGCGUGAAGGAUGACUGCCCUAUGGGUUGUAAACUUCUUUUAUAUGGGAAUAAAAUGUUCCACGUGUGGGAUUUUGUAUGUACCAUAUGAAUAAGGAUCGGCUAACUCCGUGCCAGCAGCCGCGGUAAUACGGAGGAUCCGAGCGUUAUCCGGAUUUAUUGGGUUUAAAGGGAGCGUAGGUGGAUUGUUAAGUCAGUUGUGAAAGUUUGCGGCUCAACCGUAAAAUUGCAGUUGACACUGGCAGUCUUGAGUACAGUAGAGGUGGGCGGAAUUCGUGGUGUAGCGGUGAAAUGCUUAGAUAUCACGAAGAACUCCGAUUGCGAAGGCAGUUCACUGGACUGCAACUGACACUGAGGCUCGAAAGUGUGGGUAUCAAACAGGAUUAGAUACCCGAGUAGUC